rnacentral:rRNA from 1 species
CGUGAGAUGUUGGUUAAGUCCCGCAACGAGCGCAACCCCUAUUGUUAGUUGCCAUCAUUCAGUUGGGCACUCUAGCGAGACUGCCGGUAAUAAACCGGAGGAAGGUGGGGAUGACGUCAAAUCAUCAUGCCCCUUAUGACCUGGGCUACACACGUGCUACAAUGGUUGGUACAACGAGUUGCGAGUCGGUGACGGCGAGCUAAUCUCCUAAAGCCAAUCUCAGUUCGGAUUGUAGGCUGCAACUCGCCUACAUGAAGUCGGAAUCGCUAGUAAUCGCGGAUCAGCACGCCGCGGUGAAUACGUUCCCGGGCCUU